GGCUGCAUAGCCCAGUGAUUAGAGUGUUGGUCUUGUAAACUAGGGGUUGUAAGUUUGAUCCUCUCUGGGACCU
rnacentral:tRNA from 1 species